CUAAAAAGAAUCGUAAACAUCAGUGAACUAUCUAUGACAGCGUACAGUGCUGCUCUUUUAGACCCUCUCCAACGGUACCCUCUAGACUACUCGCGUCGGUGAACUGAUCAUCCCCUCCGCAUCCAAUCGUUCAUGCACUUGUCUCCCCCUCCACAUCGCGUGAGUACUUUUCCCUAUGCCCGGUGAACUCUCUCACCCUCGCCACUCGGCCAUUGGUGCGCGCGGGCGUCGAGGAAUCACCACGCAAGCGACAGGAGUCGGGACUGGCGUCGGACGACAAGGAUUCGAAUUGACGACGACAACGAUCGUGUUUGGUGCGUCAUGCGGUUGAGUUGUUGGCUAGGUGUCCCUCCCCCAUCGCCACCGGAUCGAGCGGCGGUGGUCCAGGGAAGCGCGGAUCCGGCGGAGUCCAUCGGCUCGCGCGACUCUGCAACGCUAGAUCCUCGACGCCGUCGACGUCCAUGAGCUGCGUCGACGACCGGCGAGGUGGAGCGUAGAAGAAGCAUUCAUCGAUCCACACGACAUCGUCGUAGAUCUCCUUCCUCCAACAAUCACGGCCAAGCGAAACACCUUCGUCUCGGAUGAUCAUGGAAUUUGAGAUUGAGAAGCUCAAAAAGGCCAUUGCUGUCUUAACUUCCAUGGUUGAGGAUACAAGUUCCAAGGUUUGCGAUAUGUGCCAAGCUACUUGUAGCCCUAUGUCUCUUACAGAAGUGUAGGAAAUGAACAUUGCUUUGCUAACUAUCCAAGAACUAGUCACUGAUCUAGCUAAUUCAGCAACAGACUGUCAUAUUGCUACUUUGCCUCCUCUCCUUCGGACGACGAAAGGCAUGAAGACCCUAAUGAUUGUCUACUCAUAGAUUAGGAGUCUCCUAACGAUGGUGAUCUUUACAGUGCACAUGAUCGUUAAUGGCACCUAGGCCAAUCUAGUUAGUUGUAAGGCUGUAGUAAUGAAUUUUAGUUUGGAUGUCUAAGUUGUGGAAUGUCAUGGACCUUCGGUCCAUGGGGAUAGUUGUCUUCUCCGGCGAGGUUAUACCCCUCUGCCGCAGGCUUGGUUCUAGGGUAGCAGCCCUAGGCGCUUGAGAGGGUCAUUGCAAGGGAGAGAGAUUGGUUUGUUAAUGAUCUUGCUUGAUUUAUUCCCUGCUGCCAUGCGGCUUAUAAAUAGCCCUAUGGCUAACCAACUUCUCCUACAAACUCUCAACUAACUCCUACUUUCUUGGACUUAUCUGAUGCUAACCAACUCUCCACAAUUCUCCCAUUUCAAUCUUAUUCUCUAACCUUAUCCCAGUUCAUCUCAAUCUUAUUCUCUAGCCUUAUCCCAGCCUGGCCGUUGCCUCUCGCUCCCUAUUAUGCCCAUGACAUCUCCCCCUCCCUUGAGGACCAGCUCGUCCUCGAGCUGCCAUAGACUUACCUGACACGACUUAAGGUUAAGCCUUUUACAUCUCGGCUUACCUUUAUUAUUUAAGACGAAAAUACAAAAUAAUUGUGGAACUAAAAUAUAAAUUUGAACUGCAACUAUGUCCUCCUGUCCUCCUGGAUCCCAAGGAAAGAGCUGAACUGCGGAC
rnacentral:lncRNA from 1 species